CCUUGAACGCUGGCGGCAGGCCUAACACAUGCAAGUCGAACGGUAGCACAAGAGAGCUUGCUCUCGGGUGACGAGUGGCGGACGGGUAGAGUAAUGUCUGGGAAACUGCCCGAUGGAGGGGGAUAACUACUGGAAACGGUAGCUAAUACCGCAUAACGUCGCAAGACCAAAGAGGGGGACCUUCGGGCCUCUUGCCAUCGGAUGUGCCCAGAUGGGAUUAGCUUGUUGGUGAGGUAAUGGCUCACCAAGGCGACGAUCCCUAGCUGGUCUGAGAGGAUGACCAGCCACACUGGAACUGAGACACGGCCAGACUCCUACGGGAGGCAGCAGUGGGGAAUAUUGCACAAUGGGCGCAAGCCUGAUGCAGCCAUGCCGCGUGUGUGAAGAAGCCUUCGGGUUGUAAAGCACUUUCAGCGGGGAGGAGGCAAUCCGGUAAAAACCGCGUUGAUUGACGUACCCGCAGAAGAAGCACCAGUUAACUCUUGCCAGCAGCCGGGUAAUACCGGGGGGCAAGCGUUAUCGAAUUACUGGGCGAAAACGCCCCGGCCGUUUUCAAGCGGUUUGAAAACCCGGGUUCACCUGGGACUGGUUUCAAAAUUGCCGUGUUGACUUUUUAAAAGGGGGGAAAAAUUCUGGGGUACCGGGAAAACCCCGAAGAUUUUGGGGAAAAACCGGGGGGGAAAGGGGACCCCUUGGGAAAAAACUUGCCCUUUAAUUCCAAAACGGGGGGAACUAAAAAAGAAAGAAAAGCCCUGAGGACCCCCCCCCGAAAAAAAACACCCUGUUGGGGGGUUGGCCCUUUUGGGGGGGGUUUUCCGGGGAGACCCCCGUUAAACCCCCC
rnacentral:rRNA from 1 species